rnacentral:ribozyme from 12 species
AUCACUGUCGAGGAGGUCGAUGCCGCUCCGUCUGAGAUGGGCGCAGUGUUGGAGCUCCG